rnacentral:rRNA from 1 species
ACGAACGCUGGCGGCAUGCCUAACACAUGCAAGUCGAGCGCCCCGCAAGGGGAGUGGCGCACGGGUGAGUAACGCGUGGGGAUCUGCCCAUCGGUGGGGAAUAACCUCGGGAAACUGAGGCUAAUACCGCAUACGCCCUGUAAAGGGGAAAGAUUUAUCGCCGAUGGAUGAACCCGCGUCCGAUUAGCUUGUUGGUGAGGUAAUGGCUCACCAAGGCUUCGAUCGGUAGCUGGUCUGAGAGGAUGACCAGCCACACUGGGACUGAGACACGGCCCAGACUCCUACGGGAGGCAGCAGUGGGGAAUAUUGGACAAUGGGCGAAAGCCUGAUCCAGCCAUGCCGCGUGAGUGACGAAGGCCUUAGGGUUGUAAAGCUCUUUUGUCGGGGACGAUAAUGACGGUACCCGAAGAAUAAGCUCCGGCUAACUUCGU